UGAGGAAUAUUGGUCAAUGGGCGGAAGCCUGAACCAGCCAUGCCGCGUGCAGGACGACGGCCCUACGGGUUGUAAACUGCUUUUCCGGGGGAAGAAUAAGGGCGACGUGUCGCCCGAUGCCGGUACCCCGGGAAUAAGGAUCGGCUAACUCCGUGCCAGCAGCCGCGGUAAUACGGAGGAUCCGAGCGUUAUCCGGAUUUACUGGGUUUAAAGGGUGCGUAGGCGGGCCCCUCAGUCAGCGGUGAAAGUCUGCGGCUCAACCGUAGGAUUGCCGUUGAUACUGGGGGCCUUGGAUUCGGUCGAGGCGGGCGGAAUGCGUGGUGUAGCGGUGAAAUGCUUAGAUAUCACGCAGAACGCCGAUUGCGAAGGCAGCUCGCCGGGCCGAAAUCGACGCUGAGGCACGAAAGCGUGGGGAUCGAACAGG
rnacentral:rRNA from 1 species